rnacentral:piRNA from 1 species
ACUUGGGUCGUUUAAAGGUGACAGAGGAGUC